GAUGAACGCUGGCUACAGGCUUAACACAUGCAAGUCGUGGGGAAACGGCAUUAUGUGCUUGCACAUUCUGGACGUCGACCGGCGCACGGGUGAGUAUCGCGUAUCCAACCUGCCCCUUACUUGGGGAUACCCCGUUGAAAGACGGCCUAAUACCCGAUGUGUUUCAUUGACAGCAUCCGAUAUGAAACAAAGGUUUUCUCCGGUAAGGGAUGGGGAUGCGUCUGAUUAGCGUGUUGGCGGGGCAACGGCCCACCAAGGCGACGAUCAGUAGGGGUUCUGAGAGGAAGGUCCCCCACAUUGGAACUGAGACACGGUCCAAACUCCUACGGGAGGCAGCAGUGAGGAAUAUUGGUCAAUGGACGCAAGUCUGAACCAGCCAAGUAGCGUGCAGGAUGACGGCCCUAUGGGUUGUAAACUGCUUUUAUGUGGGAAUAAAUUGGCGCACGUGUGCGCCAUUGCAUGUACCUCAUGAAUAAGGACCGGCUAAUUCCGUGCCAGCAGCCGCGGUAAUACGGAAGGUCCGGGCGUUAUCCGGAUUUAUUGGGUUUAAAGGGAGUGUAGGCGGUCUGUUAAGCGUGUUGUGAAAUUUAGGUGCUCAACAUUUAACUUGCAGCGCGAACUGUCAGACUUGAGUACACGCAGCGCAGGCGGAAUUCAUGGUGUAGCGGUGAAAUGCUUAGAUAUCAUGAGGAACUCCGAUCGCGAAGGCAGCCUGCGGGAGUGUUACUGACGCUUAAGCUCGAAGGUGCGGGUAUCGAACAGG
rnacentral:rRNA from 1 species